CCUACGGGUGGCUGCAGUGGGGAAUAUUGGACAAUGGGGGAAACCCUGAUCCAGCAAUGCCGCGUGGGUGAUGAAGGCCUUCGGGUUGUAAAGCCCUUUUGGCGGGGACGAUGAUGACGGUACCCGCAGAAUAAGCCCCGGCUAACUUCGUUCCAGCAGCCGCGGUAAUACGACGGGGGCUCGCGUUGUUCGGAAUUACUGGGCGUAAAGGGCGCGUAGGCGGCUUCGAUAGUCAGGCGUGAAAGGCCUGGGCUCAACCCAGGAACUGCGCUUGAUACUGUGAGGCUAGAGUGUGGGAGAGGAUGGUGGAAGUCCCAGUGUAGAGGUGAAAUUCGUAGAUAUUGGGAAGAACACCGGUGGCGAAGGCGACCAUCUGGACCACUACUGACGCUGAGGCGCGAAAGCGUGGGGAGCAAACAGGAUUAGAUACCCUAGUAGUC
rnacentral:rRNA from 1 species